rnacentral:misc_RNA from 1 species
CCGAGUCGUCGACACGAGUUGUUGCUGGUCCUCACACAAGGGGGCAUGUGCACGCUCUGUUCACACAUCCACUCACACCUGUGCACCCUCUGUAGUUCUAUGGUCUGGGGGGACAUCUCGUCCUCCUCCUGUAGUUCUACGUCUUUACACAUACGCCGUAGCAAAGUCUCAUGGAAUGUGCAUCGCGUUUAACGCAAUACAAUA